rnacentral:rRNA from 1 species
GACAGAGGAGCCAAGCGUUGUCCGGAUUUACUGGGCGUAAAGGGCGCUUAGGCGGCCAGCACAAGUCAGUUGUGAAAUCUCCGAGCUUAACUCGGAAAGGUCAACUGAUACUGUGCGGCUAGAGUGCGGAAGGGGCAACUGGAAUUCUUGGUGUAGCGGUGAAAUGCGUAGAUAUCAAGAGGAACACCUGCGGCGAAGGCGGGUUGCUGGGCCGACACUGACGCUGAGGCGCGAAAGCCAGGGGAGCGAACGGG